CCUACGGGAGGCAGCAGUAAGGAAUAUUGGUCAAUGGAGGCAACUCUGAACCAGCCAUGCCGCGUGCAGGAAGACUGCCCUAUGGGUUGUAAACUGCUUUUAUCCGGGAAUAAACCUGCUUACGUGUAAGUAGCUGAAUGUACCGGAAGAAUAAGGAUCGGCUAACUCCGUGCCAGCAGCCGCGGUAAUACGGAGGAUCCAAGCGUUAUCCGGAUUUAUUGGGUUUAAAGGGUGCGUAGGCGGCCUGUUAAGUCAGGGGUGAAAGACGGUAGCUCAACUAUCGCAGUGCCCUUGAUACUGAUGGGCUUGAAUGGACUAGAGGUAGGCGGAAUGAGACAAGUAGCGGUGAAAUGCAUAGAUAUGUCUCAGAACACCGAUUGCGAAGGCAGCUUACUAUGGUCUUAUUGACGCUGAGGCACGAAAGCGUGGGGAUCAAACAGGAUUAGAUACCCUGGUAGUCCACGCCCUAAACGAUGAACACUCGCUGUUGGCGAUACACAGUCAGCGGCGUAAGACGAAGACGUUAAGUUAGUUCCUACCGUCGGGAGGUACGGCCCGGCCGACGGGUAGGAACGUACGAAAGUAGUAGUUAGUACGGACGUAGAGACGUUGCCGACGGACGACGACGAGGGAGGAGG
rnacentral:rRNA from 1 species